UGAAGUUAAACCGAACGAAUAGUAAGCAGCAAAAUCGAGAAAGCGUACAAUACAUCGUGAAGCUUUCAUUGUGAAAAUUUUAUUUAUUGCAAUGAAUAUUAAGAAAAUACAACGAAGAAUGGCUUCGGACAAAAUAAAUCUUGUUAAUACUUGGAAUUUGUGAAGAAAUAGUAGAAGAAUCAUCAAUCUUAACUCAUAAGUGUUUGGAAGGAUUUGAACAUUUCAUCAUUGAUAAGAAUUUACAUUUUUAUUCUGCAUAUAAUGACGCUAUAAUUCGACGAAGUGCUAUGAGAAAGGGGUAAAAAAUGGUUUUAAAAAAAGGUAAAAAAAGCACUACUCUAAUAAAAAUAAAAUAUAAAACGAGUAUCAAUAAAGCGUUAAUUGGAGUGUAAAGGAAGUGUAAGGAGGAAGUAACAGAAACGUAAAUGAAAUCCAUAAGAAGCGAAAAUUGGAACGUAAAGGAAGCGUCAACUAAAUGAAGUGUAUCAGUAUGCUCCACGUAUUCUUUGCGGAGUGUUGAGAAGCAUAUGAGAAACGUUAAUGAAAAAAAAAUUUUAAACAUGUGGGAAAUGUGACAGAUUUGGGCACACUUUACGAAGCGUUUAGGGCGAGUUCGUGGAGCGUGUAUGAAUAUUCAAAACUACUAAAAAUGGAAAGUCAAUAAAGCAUUUAA